UGCGGGGUAGCGCAGCCAGGUAGCGCAAUCGUGGAAUUCGCACCGAUAGGUCGCUGGUUCGAAUCCGGCCCUGCAACCA
rnacentral:tRNA from 1 species